UACGUAGGCAGCAAGCGUUGUUCGGAGUUACUGGGCGUAAAGGGCGCGUAGGCGGCUUUUUAAGUCUGGUGUGAAAUCUCCCGGCUCAACUGGGAGGGUGCGCCGGAUACUGAGGGGCUAGAGUGUGGGAGAGGAAAGUGGAAUUCCUGGUGUAGCGGUGAAAUGCGCAGAUAUCAGGAGGAACACCGGUGGCGAAGGCGGGUCUCUGGGCCGAUACUGACGCUGAGGAGCGAAAGCGUGGGGAGCGAACAGG
rnacentral:rRNA from 1 species